UGACCACUCAUUGUGUGAAUGUGGCCUUGACGAAGGCACGGUUUCCCACAUCCUUUUUACCUGUCCCAAACUACUCCGUCCUAUAUAUGACAUCCUUCCCUGUGAUAUUCCCCGCCCUAUAAAUGUUCAAUGUUUGUUAAUGUUGGUGUUUAGUCCCUACUGUACAUUUUUGUGUAAAUAUUUUGAAAUAAAUAAAAUUAAGUUGUAAAUAAAUCAUGUGUCUGUCCUAGUCUUAAGGUAUAACAAUGAAAGUCUGACUAUUUUGCCUGUUUUCAAAAUUAAAUUGAGACUGUUAUCUCAA